rnacentral:rRNA from 1 species
CGAACGCUGGCGGCGUGCUUAACACAUGCAAGUCGAACGGAAAGGCCCUGCUUUUGUGGGGUGCUCGAGUGGCGAACGGGUGAGUAACACGUGAGUAACCUGCCCUUGACUUUGGGAUAACUUCAGGAAACUGGGGCUAAUACCGGAUAGGAGCUCCUGCUGCAUGGUGGGGGUUGGAAAGUUUCGGCGGUAGGGGAUGGACUCGCGGCUUAUCAGCUUGUUGGUGGGGUAGUGGCUUACCAAGGCUUUGACGGGUAGCCGGCCUGAGAGGGUGACCGGCCACAUUGGGACUGAGAUACGGCCCAGACUCCUACGGGAGGCAGCAGUGGGGAAUAUUGCACAAUGGGCGGAAGCCUGAUGCAGCAACGCCGCGUGCGGGAUGACGGCCUUCGGGUUGUAAACCGCUUUCGCCUGUGACGAAGCGUGAGUGACGGUAAUGGGUAAAGAAGCACCGGCUAACUACGUGCCAGCAGCCGCGGUGAUACGUAGGGUGCGAGCGUUGUCCGGAUUUAUUGGGCGUAAAGGGCUCGUAGGUGGUUGAUCGCGUCGGAAGUGUAAUCUUGGGGCUUAACCCUGAGCGUGCUUUCGAUACGGGUUGACUUGAGGAAGGUAGGGGAGAAUGGAAUUCCUGGUGGAGCGGUGGAAUGCGCAGAUAUCAGGAGGAACACCAGUGGCGAAGGCGGUUCUCUGGGCCUUUCCUGACGCUGAGGAGCGAAAGCGUGGGGAGCGAACAGGCCUUAGAUCCCCUGGUAGUCCACGCUGUAAACGGUGGGUACUAGGUGUGGGGUCCAUUCCCACGGGUUCCGUGCCGUAGCUAACGCUUUAAGUACCCCGCCUGGGGAGUACGGCCGCAAGGCUAAAACUCAAAGGAAUUGACGGGGCCCCGCACAAGCGGCGGAGCAUGCGGAUUAAUUCGAUGCAACGCGUAGAACCUUACCUGGGUUUGACAUGGAUCGGGAGUGCUCAGAGAUGGGUGUGCCUCUUUUGGGGUCGGUUCACAGGUGGUGCAUGGCUGUCGUCAGCUCGUGUCGUGAGAUGUUGGGUUAAGUCCCGCAACGAGCGCAACCCUUGUUCACUGUUGCCAGCACGUUAUGGUGGGGACUCAGUGGAGACCGCCGGGGUCAACUCGGAGGAAGGUGGGGAUGACGUCAAGUCAUCAUGCCCCUUAUGUCCAGGGCUUCACGCAUGCUACAAUGGCUGGUACAGAGAGUGGCGAGCCUGUGAGGGUGAGCGAAUCUCGGAAAGCCGGUCUCAGUUCGGAUUGGGGUCUGCAACUCGACCUCAUGAAGUCGGAGUCGCUAGUAAUCGCAGAUCAGCAACGCUGCGGUGAAUACGUUCCCGGG